AUUGAACGCUGGCGGCAGGCCUAACACAUGCAAGUCGAACGAGUGGCGGACGGGUGAGUUAUGUCUGGGAACCUGCCUGAUGGAGGGGGAUAACUACUGGAACCGGUAGUUAAUACCGCAUACCAUCAGAUGUUCCCAGAUGGGAUUAGCUUGUUGGUGGGGUGACGGCUCACCAAGGCGACGAUCCCUAGCUGGUCUGAGAGGAUGACCGUCCGCACUGCGACUGAGAGACGGUCCAGACUCCUCAGAGAGGCAGCGGUGGGGAAUAGUGCACAAUGGGCGCAAGGCUGCUAGAGCCAUGCCGCGUGUAUGAAGAGGGCCUUCGGGUGGUACAGUACUUUCAGCGGGGAGGCGUUACCCGCAGAAGAAGCACCGGCUAACUCCGUGCCAGCCGCCGCGGUAAUUC
rnacentral:rRNA from 1 species